ensembl:lncRNA
AGCGAACUCCAAGCCGCUGCCUUGCUGCUCAUGCAAAACCUCCACAGCAGGAUCCACAGAGCUGUGGGGGCCAUGUGGGCCGCUGAGAUCCCCCUGUUGCUGCAGUGCCUCCAAGUUCCUGAGGGCAUCGCUGGAGACCAUGGAGGAUGAGGCCUGUACCAAGGGCCUGAGCUGUGAGCUGAGCCAGUAGCUGAGCAGCUCUCCUAGAAGCUCUGGAGAAAAGUCUUUCCUGUACAAGGCUCUGGGGACAGUGCUGGGAGCUUGUAAAGGAGUCCUUCACAUCCAAGAGAAGCUGCUGCAACACCUG